ACCUCGAUAGCUCAAUCGGCAGAGCAGGGGACUGUUAAUCCCAAGGUUGAUGGUUCGAGUCCAUUUCGAGGUG
rnacentral:tRNA from 1 species